GGUAGGGAAUGGAAGGUUAACUUCACUUCCUGCUCUGUAGUCCCACGAACCAUGAAACAUGCACUAUCCUGGAAGGAAAUCAGACUGCCAUCUGAAUAUACCAGGCAGGAGAUGAUAGAAGGGCAGUCCAGAGUGGCACACCAAAGUAUUUCUGAUGCCAGAACUUCACCAUCAGAGACAGCAGUCCUCUUCCCUGGCCUGGACAAGAUCCCCAAGGUACAUAUCAGAAAUGAAGGCUGUCCUCAAGCUGCCACAAAACUGGAAGUGGAGAAUGAUACAAGAGUAAGUCAAAUCACCACAAACCUCUCUUAUCAACAGUCAGCUAUUUUCCUUGAUUUAGAGUUUUUCUCAUUAUUGUAAGCUUUUGAUUAGACUCCAGAUUUCUAAAAAAAGGUGAUUCUGACAGUUUUUACGUCUGUUCAUUGCUUUUGUGGAAAGAUGGACUUUCAGAAUUUUCUCCUUUACCAUUUCUACUAAUGUCAUCCUGUUUUUCAGUACUUUCGAGAAUUUUUUUUUUUUUUUUUUUUUUUACAAUUUGAAGUCAAAUUUAUCAAUUUUUCCUUUUAUGUUUCUUUUAAGUUUUGGCUUUUAUGCACAUUUAGAAA
rnacentral:lncRNA from 1 species